UGAGGAAUAUUGGUCAAUGGGCGCAAGCCUGAACCAGCCAUCCCGCGUGAAGGAAGAAGGCCCUACGGGUUGUAAACUUCUUUUCUGUUUGAAGAAUAAGCUCGUCGAGACGAGUGAUGCCGGUAGGACAGGAAUAAGCAUCGGCUAACUCCGUGCCAGCAGCCGCGGUAAUACGGAGGAUGCAAGCGUUAUCCGGAUUUAUUGGGUUUAAAGGGUGCGCAGGUGGUUUAAUAAGUCAGUGGUGAAAGUCUGGCGCUUAACGUUAGGAUUGCCAUUGAUACUGUUAGACUUGAAUAUGGAUGAGGUAGGCGGAAUGUGUAGUGUAGCGGUGAAAUGCUUAGAUAUUACACAGAACACCGAUUGCGAAGGCAGCUUACUAAUCCAUCAUUGACGCUGAGGCACGAAAGCGUGGGGAUCAAACAG
rnacentral:rRNA from 1 species